AUAAAACUGUGCUCUGGAUUGCCUUGGUGCUGUUUGUAUUUUAAUGCUAAUUCUGCUUCUCACAAAAGGGCUGUCUCAGACCAGGAGAGAGUCACUUACUGAGGUGAUUUCAUGUGAACCUUCUCCAUUUUUAACUGGUAAAAUAUAGGUCUGUGAUUGGGCAGUAGAAGGGAAAAGUGGAGCUGAAAGUUGUAGAUGCCCGACUCACCAGCAAGUGAGAUGCCACAACAGGAUUCUUCUGCACAGGUUUAUUGGGAGAGCUUGAUUGUGAAGGGGAAAGAUCCUGGUGCUGCUUAUAUAGGCCUAGGAGAGGCGUGUCUACACCCGAUUGGUUAUGCUUUCAGUACAUCAUUUACAUGCCUAGGGCCAGGCCAUGACUCAGCACAAACUCUUAUGCACAUGCGCACAUUGGUUGUUUACCCAUAUUCAUGGGCGUCAGCUUGUUGAAACCAGUGCCAUCUUGUAAUGGCAUUUAUCGGCUUCCCACAGAAAGUUUUAGAGAGGUGACACACACACACACACACACACACACACACACACACACACAGAGAGAGAGAGAGAGAGAGAGAGAGAGAGAGAGAGAGAGAGAGAGAGAGAGAGAGAGAAGAUGGAAUCAGGAGAAGAUAGAGCUUCCCCACGUGGUCUGGAAGAGCCACAAGUAGCUAGGCAUUUCAUAGAUGGGCAAUAAGCACUGUAAGGUACAUUUGCCCAGUCUAGGUGUGCAGCUUGAGUUUUGUGUUCUUUGUGGAGGCAUUUUGGGGUUGGAGAUUUACUGUUAUGGAUCCGACUGGUUAUUACAAGUCUCUAGUGCUAUCAUUUUAUCAGGUGCAGGCUAGCCUCAGGGGCUAAAUGGCCUGGGAAAUGUGAGAGGCUUGCCAGCAAACUAGCCAACGGAACUAUGGGGGCAGACAAGACCUCAGUUGCUUGUGCUUAGCUGGUUUAGCUUGGUUUGUUUUUUAAAACUGCAUGCUGCAAAACUGUACUUUAACUUUGAACUUUGAACUCAUUCACACAAAGGAUUUUUGAAUAAAAGCUACGAUGCUUCUUCUCUUGAUAUUUUUAUUUUUACAACGAAUAUCUUUGUUGCUUUCUAGUCACUUGUAUGUUUUUCUGCACUCAGUAUUUAAGAUGCUAAAACAGACUCAUUAAAAUUAAAAGAGCUGAAUGGAUUUCAUGCCUGCUUAAUAUUCGGGGUUUUGAUAGACAAAUGAAUAGAUAGAUAUAUCACUUUUGCUUUCAGCAUUCCUGUAAACCCUUAACAAUUGAAUAUGUCAAACACUGUUUAUGAAUAUAAAUUAUAUCUAUCAAAGUCUAUCACAGAAGAAAUUGAAACUGUAUAUCAUUAAAAUGUAUCAUAAAACCACAACAUAUUAAAACAAAUAUCAAGGUUUUCUAAAAAUAUCUGCAUUUUGUGACAAGUUUGGCAUUAUUAUAUACUUUAACAAAUGUCUUUUGGUGUCUGGAUUAAUAGAAGACAGCAGAAUGCUCAUGUCUGUCUCCCUCAUUGAUCUGUUUUGAGAUGUAGUUUGGGUGGAAGUAUAUGAAGAAAAUCCAACCUUACCCCACUGUACAUUAGAAACAACAGUAUGUUGUAACAGACACUAUAGGUAAUUUCAAUAUUCUUUGAGAGUGUACCAAAAACCCAUCAAAAGGAAUUCCUUAAAAUUAGGGAUCAAUUCUAAGUCUAAAAUUGUUUUGAAUCUUCAUGUUUUCGUCUUUAGGAAAAUAUUGGUUCAUCGACUUAUCUGUACUUGUGAAAUGUUCUAAUUUAACUGGAAAUUAAAAUAACACUUGUUAAUAAGAUCACCUUUCACACAUGAUUAGUUUUUCAUGUACUGGAAAGCUGUCAUUCUUAUGGUGGUGAAUUCAAGUUCGCAUAAUGCCUAAUCCUAAUUUGAAAGGUUCAAUUUUAUCAGUGGUAAUAAAGACUUGUAAAGUUCUUUCCUUAAAGAAGAAGACACCUGCUUUUGUGCUUUUAAGAAAUUGUAUGCCAGUUAUGCAAAUCUGAAUACAGAUAAUGUUCCUGUCAUUCUCUCAGUAAAAUGUAAUGGCCUGUGUAUUCAUAGGUCUAGAUUUUAUAAAAUGAUAACUUGCUACACUCUCAUUAAAACCAUUUUCCAG
rnacentral:lncRNA from 1 species